UACAGAGGUGGCAAGCGUUGUUCGGAAUUAUUGGGCGUAAAGAGCUCGUAGGCGGUCUGUCGCGUCGGUCGUGAAAACUUGGGGCUUAACCCUGAGCUUGCGGUCGAUACGGGCAUGACUGGAGUUCGGCAGGGGAGACUGGAAUUCCUGGUGUAGCGGUGAAAUGCGCAGAUAUCAGGAGGAACACCGGUGGCGAAGGCGGGUCUCUGGGCCGAUACUGACGCUGAGGAGCGAAAGCGUGGGGAGCGAACAGG
rnacentral:rRNA from 1 species